GACGAACGUUGGCGGCGUGCUUAAUACAUGCAAGUCAACUGAAGCAGUGGUAGCAUAUCGCUGUGGAGGUGGCGCACGGGUGAGUAACACGUAGGUAAUCUGCCUUCAGGUCUGGCAUAACUCCGGGAAACCGGGGCUAAUAGCAGAUGAUGCAGCGGCUCGACAUCGAGACAGUUGUUAAAGCUAUGGCGCCUGAAGAUGAGCCUGCGUCUGAUUAGCUAGUUGGCGGGGUAACGGCCCACCAAGGCAACGAUCAGUAGCUGGUCUGAGAGGAUGAUCAGCCACACUGGAACUGAGACACGGUCCAGACUCCUACGGGAGGCAGCAGUAAGGAAUAUUGCUCAAUGGGAGAAAUCCUGAAGCAGCAACGCCGCGUGAGGGACGAAGGGCUUUUGCUUGUAAACCUCUGUAGUGAGAGAAAAAAAUCCCAAUCUUUGGGACAUGAUGGUAUCUCAAAAGUAAGCCCCGGCUAACUACGUG
rnacentral:rRNA from 1 species